rnacentral:rRNA from 1 species
UACGUAGGGCGCAAGCGUUGUCCGGAAUUAUUGGGCGUAAAGAGCUCGUAGGCGGUCUGUUACGUCUGCUGUGAAAACCCAGGGCUUAACCCUGGGCUUGCAGUGGAUACGGGCAGACUAGAGGCAGGUAGGGGAGAAUGGAAUUCCCGGUGUAGCGGUGAAAUGCGCAGAUAUCGGGAGGAACACCGGUGGCGAAGGCGGGUCUCUGGACAGUUCCUGACGCUGAGGCACGAAGGUCAGGGGAGCAAACGGG